CCGCCCCACUCGGGAGCUCCUCGCUCCAAGGAUUUACUCCGGAGUGACUAAGUGCACGUAGUUCACAAAGUAACACCAGAAAACGUCCACGUUUUCCCUGGUCCAUCAGAACAUCGGCCGCCUGCCCUCAGCUGUCUGCAGCCUGCCCUGCCCCUAGGUGUUGAGAGAUGCGUUUUCAAAUGACACGUUGAGAUCCAGGAGUGAAUACUCAAAUCUAGUGACUCGGGAGCACAUCUCUUUCCCGAAUAAAAUAGUAACGAUACGUCCUGACUAGAUAAUAAACUAUGUGAUCAACGUACUUCCAGCUCUCAAAGAUAUGGUUCUGUACGGCCCUCUGCUCCAAUCUUCCAGCAAUUCAUUCAAUGAAUUCCUUUACCUAAUAGGAAUAUUGCAGAGGCCAGGGUUUGUGCCACGGUCUCCAGGGAAUAAAGCAGGAUCUCUGAUUAUGUUCAGAACUGCAAUGCAUGUAGUUAAAAAGACCCACCGCCUGGAGUUUCUUUGUGGUGAUAUAAUUGCUCUGUAUCUUGACUGUGGCCAUGGUUAUAGAAAUCUAUACAGGUAAUAAAAU
rnacentral:lncRNA from 1 species